rnacentral:rRNA from 1 species
CGGAUUGCAGGCUGCAACUCGCCUGCAUGAAGCUGGAAUUGCUAGUAAUCGCGGAUCAGCAAGCCGCGGUGAAUACGUUCCCGGGCCUUGUACACACCGCCCGUCACACCAUGAGAGUCGGGAACACCCGAAGCCAGUGACCCAACCGGAAACGGAGGGAGCUGUCGAAGGUGGGACCGAUAACUGGGGUGAAGUCGUAACAAGGUAGC